rnacentral:rRNA from 1 species
GACGAACGCUGGCGGCGUGCUUAAAACAUGCAAGUCGAACGAGAGCGUAGAGAAAGCUUGCUUUUUCUACAAUCUAGUGGCAAACGGGUGAGUAACGCGUAAACAACCUGCCCUACGGAUGGGGACAACAGCUGGAAACGGCUGCUAAUACCGAAUACGUUCCGAAAGUCGCAUGACUAUCGGAAGAAAGGAUGGCCUCUAUUUAUAAGCUAUCGCCGGAGGAGGGGUUUGCGUCUGAUUAGCUAGUUGGAGGGGUAACGGCCCACCAAGGCGACGAUCAGUAGCCGGUCUGAGAGGAUGAACGGCCACAUUGGAACUGAGACACGGUCCAGACUCCUACGGGAGGCAGCAGUGGGGAAUCUUCCGCAAUGGGCGAAAGCCUGACGGAGCAACGCCGCGUGAGUGAAGACGGCCUUCGGGUUGUAAAGCUCUGUUAUACGGGACGAAUAAUCUUGUGGUUAAUACCCAUGAGAAGUGACGGUACCGUAAGAGAAAGCCACGGCUAACUACGUG